CGACGCCGGCGCCGCAUCUUCCCCCAACUCCUUUCUGUCGUCAUACUUUACCGCCACCGAUUUUCAUCAGCCGGCCAACUCCAUCUUGUCUCACCCCUCCUUCCCCACAUCGACCGCCUCCUGAUGCUCCUCCUCCUCUCUUUGUGUGUGCUCAAUCCUGAUCCACACCUUUGCAUCGGCGUUCUUUAAAUCUCCGAUGAAUAUCUCCCUCUAUGGAUGGAGCAGCAUCGCCGUCCACGUCUGCGUUCCCACGGCCGGAUCCGCACCACCGUCGCCCGAGCCGGCGUUCCCACGGUCACGUUCCUCUCCACCGUCGCCCGCUCCUGCCCGCGCUCAUCCAUCGCCGCGUACUUAAUGGCUUCGGUGACCACGGCGCCUCGGCUGCGACCCAGGCUUGCUUGGCGGCCGGAUGGAUAGAUACUGGCAAAGCUCAUCCUCGGCGCCCCGGCUGCGACCCAUGGUUGAUUGGCCGCCGGCUGGAAGGGGGCCUCCUGCUCCUCCUAACUAAGCUUGAUGUGGGGCGGACUGACAGCCUGGUAUUGGUGUGUGCGACCUGCGGACGGCACCCACUAAGCGACGCAUCUUCUUUUGUCGUCCUCAUGCUCUCUGCCCUUAAUUUGUCAUCUAUCUAUCUGAUUGUUGGCUACAUGCGCAGGUGUUUGAGGCAUGACCGCAUGAGCGGUGACUUCCAUCCAGUAGGAGGCAGCAAGAAGCCGCGACUGACUCUGAACUAGCUGCUAGCAAUGCGCCCCCUCCCCUCUCAUCUACGUACAUGGAUUGCCAAUGGCCAAACUACUCUCUUGAUUCUUUCUUUAGCGUUUUCAGUUUCCACUAACAAUCCAUAUUUGGUAAACCGUGAACCCUGUUCAUGAGUAUCCGCCAACAAUCUGUUUGAUGUUAUGCAUACGUUGGAUUGAGAUACAGUCUAAUUUUCUGGUCAAACUCUUACCUCUGUUUAGAAAAUCAAUAUGAAGAAAUAGGUGUAUUGAUGUACGAUCUGCACUUAAGAACAAGUGUACCUGUUGUUCCAAGCUGCCGGCGAUGACGGCCAAAGAGUCAGCGAGGGUCCACGGUCCAUUUGAUUUCAUGGGGAUUAUUCUGUAAAAUGCGAUCUACAUUGAAGCCAAUCCGAUCCAGGUGAAACGGAAGUUGGUAGAUUAUUCCGGCAAUGGGGCUUCUGCUUGUGCGGCUCUGCAUUACCAUUCCAUAGCUCAAGGCAUCAGAUCUGCUUUAGAGACAAACUCUCGCUCGGCUUAGUUUCCAUGUAGUGUUAAAUUAACUAUCUUCGUUACAAACGGUAAGCUAAAGCAGAUUAAAAAGGAUAAUAAUUUUUCUCAAUCCAUGGUCAGUUGCUAAACUGACCAGUAGCUGCACUCAAGGAGCUAACUGUUCACUAUAAAAUAGCCAUAAAUUUGUCAGGCUUUACAGUGUCCUAUAUCUGAAUUUUGUGGUCUGGAAAUUUUUAGCGGUUAUUUCAUAGUAAGAUUAUAGAGUUAUUCUCCCUGUUUCACUAAUCUGCUCACUUGCUCACAGUAAAAAAAAUAAUUAAAUUAUCAGGAGUGGUAAUUUCAAGGAAAGAAACAAGAGCACUUUGAGGUCUCUGCUAUCGUUCAAGAUAUAUGUUACACAAAAUUGGUAUUGGACCAUAAAUAUGUAUGCCCGUUGCAGCGCACGGGCUCAUUUACUUUA